AAACACUCGACUCUCUCUCUCUCUCUCUCUCUCUCUCUAACACACCCACACACACACGCACGCACACCCACACACCCACAUACACACACACUUCAGACACUGUCACCAGAGCUCAUAAAUGUAAAAUUUACACUAUCUACAGAACUGUCACCCCGGGAAAAACACACACAUGGCCCGGAAAAUGUGUCUUCUAGUUUAAACAAAACUCUCGAUUCUUUUAAGCAGCACUUUAAACAUUUUACAUCCUAAAGGGUUAGGUUUAGAAGGCAUGUAAUACGCGCGUUUCUUAUAAAACACCGUCUUUAAAACGUUUACCUCCUAAAGGGACCUAUUUAGAAGGUAUGUAAAAAGUUUUUUUUAAUUAUUUUUUCUUUUUUACAUUUCUUCGGGUAUAUCAAUGUUUUAGAGUAUUUAUUUCAGUAAAGUUUUAUUCAAAGUCA
ensembl:lncRNA